rnacentral:rRNA from 1 species
UGCAGUCGAACGGAAGGCCCUGCUUUUGUGGGGUGCUCGAGUGGCGAACGGGUGAGUAACACGUGAGUAACCUGCCCUUGACUUUGGGAUAACUUCAGGAAACUGGGGCUAAUACCGGAUAGGAGCUCCUGCUGCAUGGUGGGGGUUGGAAAGUUUCGGCGGUUGGGGAUGGACUCGCGGCUUAUCAGCUUGUUGGUGGGGUAGUGGCUUACCAAGGCUUUGACGGGUAGCCGGCCUGAGAGGGUGACCGGCCACAUUGGGACUGAGAUACGGCCCAGACUCCUACGGGAGGCAGCAGUGGGGAAUAUUGCACAAUGGGCGGAAGCCUGAUGCAGCAACGCCGCGUGCGGGAUGACGGCCUUCGGGUUGUAAACCGCUUUCGCCUGUGACGAAGCGUGAGUGACGGUAAUGGGUAAAGAAGCACCGGCUAACUACGUGCCAGCAGCCGCGGUGAUACGUAGGGUGCGAGCGUUGUCCGGAUUUAUUGGGCGUAAAGGGCUCGUAGGUGGUUGAUCGCGUCGGAAGUGUAAUCUUGGGGCUUAACCCUGAGCGUGCUUUCGAUACGGGUUGACUUGAGGAAGGUAGGGGAGAAUGGAAUUCCUGGUGGAGCGGUGGAAUGCGCAGAUAUCAGGAGGAACGCCAGUGGCGAAGGCGGUUCUCUGGGCCUUUCCUGACGCUGAGGAGCGAAAGCGUGGGGAGCGAACAGGCUUAGAUACCCUGGUAGUCCACGCUGUAAACGGUGGGUACUAGGUGUGGGGUCCAUUCCACGGGUUCCGUGCCGUAGCUAACGCUUUAAGUACCCCGCCUGGGGAGUACGGCCGCAAGGCUAAAACUCAAAGGAAUUGACGGGCCCCGCACAAGCGGCGGAGCAUGCGGAUUAAUUCGAUGCAACGCGUAGAACCUUACCUGGGUUUGACAUGGAUCGGGA